rnacentral:tRNA from 1 species
AGGAAGCGUAAGUAGACAACUGGCACUGCUGAUGCUUGUUUCCAAGGUUAAACUCCAUGGCUUCCUU